rnacentral:lncRNA from 1 species
GUCUUGCACGACUGUUGUGCACUCAUAGACCACUGCACAUGCCUUGCACACCCCUUUGUGCACACCCAGAUCACCGCACCCCCCUUGCACACGUCUUGCACGACUGUUGUGCACUCAUAGGCCACAACACACGCCUCGCACAUGCCUUACACAUGCCUUGCAUGGCUGUUGUGCACACACAGACCACCACACAUGGCUUUCACACACAGAUCACAGCACACGCCUUGCACUUAUGUCACACGUGCACGCCUGUUGUGCACUCACAGACCACAGCACACCCUUCACACACGCCUUGCAUAUGCCUUGCACGAUUGUGCACUCACAGAUCACAGCACACUCCUUGUGCACACCUUGUACGACUGUUGUGCACUCACAAGCCACAGCACAUGCCUCGCACACGUCUUGUACAAGCCUUGCACACGCAGCUCAGUCACCUCACGUUUCACCCCUUGCACAUCCUCACACACUUCUCAUGCACCUCAGAGGCCUUGCACACUCCUUGCGUGUGUGUCACGUGCUGUGCACGUGUCACACAAAGCAGUUUUGCACAGACAUGUUGCACGCCUGUGGCUCAUGCAUGGCACACGUGCAUUCACAGAGCACAGCACAUGCCUUGCACGUGUAUCACGCUUGCAUUGUGCAUCUCUUUUGCAUGUCUGCGACUCCUACACGUGGCCCACCCGCCUUACACGACUGUUGUGCACUCACAGAAAACAGCACGAGCCUCGCACGUGCCUCGCACAUGCUUUGCACGACCCUUGUGCAAUCACAGACCACAGCACACCCUCCAUACAAGCCUCACCCACGCCUCGCACACACCUCGCACAACUGUUGCGCGUUCGAAGCCGACGGCACACACUCACACGUGCCUUGCACAACUAUUGUGCGCUCACAGACCACAGCACAACCCUCACACACGCCUUGCACGUGCCUCCGGGGCCCGUUGUGCACACCCCCGCCGCAGCGCGCCCCUCGCACACGCUUCGCACACCCCUCGCACGGCUGUUGUGCGCUCACGGACCAGAGCGCGCGUGUUUCACGCGCACGGCAAGGCACAGCACCCCCAUUGCCCCCCCC